rnacentral:rRNA from 1 species
UACGGGGGGGGCAAGCGUUGUUCGGAAUUACUGGGCGUAAAGGGCUCGUAGGUGGCCAACUAAGUCAGACGUGAAAUCCCUCGGCUUAACCGGGGAACUGCGUCUGAUACUGGAUGGCUUGAGUUUGGGAGAGGGAUGCGGAAUUCCAGGUGUAGCGGUGAAAUGCGUAGAUAUCUGGAGGAACACCGGUGGCGAAGGCGGCAUCCUGGACCAACACUGACACUGAGGAGCGAAAGCCAGGGGAGCAAAUGGG